rnacentral:pre_miRNA from 1 species
AACAUACUCCCUCCGUUCGGAAUUACUUGUCUCGGAAAUGGAUGUAUCUAGAUGUUCUAGAUACAUCCAUUUCCGAGACAAGUAAUUCCGAACGGAGGGAGUAGAAA